GGGGGCGACCGGUUUCGACGGGUAUUAAUAUAUUUUUAGUUGCAUACCGAGCAAUCCUAGAAAACUCGUUAAAUGUCUAGUAAAAACAAUAAGUGCCAAUAAUGGCCAAAUUGCUUACGCUUAAUAAGUAGUAAGCCAUCUCAAUUAGAGUUUGUCUGUGACUUUUUUAUGAGGUGUCAUCUUUACAGACUAGUUUUGAUUUUUGUCUAAGAAAUCAUAAUGAAAAUUUAUUAGGCUCGCAUAGAGUGUGUUUGGUUAUUUUCAUUAUUUUAUGUUAAACUCAAAAAUAACAUAAGUAUGUAGAAACUAAUUAUCGAUUAUAUUCGGACGGGAGUUCGAUUCUCCCCGCCUCCACUU
rnacentral:tmRNA from 1 species